rnacentral:rRNA from 1 species
GAUGAACGCUGGCGGCGUGCCUAAUACAUGCAAGUCGAGCGAACAGACGAGGGGCUUGCCCCUCUGACGUUAGCGGCGGACGGGUGAGUAACACGUGGAUAACCUACCUAUAAGACUGGGAUAACUUCGGGAAACCGGAGCUAAUACCGGAUAAUAUAUUGAACCGCAUGGUUCAAUAGUGAAAGACGGUUUUGCUGUCACUUAUAGAUGGAUCCGCGCCGCAUUAGCUAGUUGGUAAGGUAACGGCUUACCAAGGCAACGAUGCGUAGCCGACCUGAGAGGGUGAUCGGCCACACUGGAACUGAGACACGGUCCAGACUCCUACGGGAGGCAGCAGUAGGGAAUCUUCCGCAAUGGGCGAAAGCCUGACGGAGCAACGCCGCGUGAGUGAUGAAGGUCUUCGGAUCGUAAAACUCUGUUAUUAGGGAAGAACAAAUGUGUAAGUAACUAUGCACGUCUUGACGGUACCUAAUCAGAAAGCCACGGCUAACUACGUG